GACCACAAGCCUUGGUCCGACCUCGCGAAUGAUAUCGUCCGCGAUCGCCUCAGGGUCGGAGAAGAUUCUUGGCAUCGGAUGUCUGCUGGUCCACUCCGCCGGACAGGCCGCUGUCAUCGCAUAAGGGCGCGCGACACUUAGCCACCGUGCCGGAAUUUCACCGUAGGACAUUGAUCGGUCAAGACAAUACCGGCCUGGUUGAUAACAAAGCGGUGUACAUAGUCACAGUCGGCGAUUUUCUGUGUUCAGAGGUUU
rnacentral:misc_RNA from 1 species